AUUGAACGCUGGCGGCAUGCCUUACACAUGCAAGUCGAACGGCAGCACGGGCGCUUGCACCUGGUGGCGAGUGGCGAACGGGUGAGUAAUACAUCGGAACGUACCUUAUCGUGGGGGAUAACGCAGCGAAAGCUGUGCUAAUACCGCAUACGCCCUGAGGGGGAAAGCGGGGGAUCGAAAGACCUCGCGCGAUUAGAGCGGCCGAUGCCUGAUUAGCUUGUUGGUGGGGUAAAAGCCCACCAAGGCGACGAUCAGUAGCUGGUCUGAGAGGAUGAUCCGCCACACUGGGACUGAGACACGGCCCAGACUCCUACGGGAGGCAGCAGUGGGGAAUCUUGGACAAUGGGCGCAAGCCUGAUCCAGCCAUGCCGCGUGGAUGAUGAAGGCCUUAGGGUUGUAAAAGUCCUUUCAACGGGGACGAGUAAUGACGGUACCCGUAGAAGAAGCCCCGGCUAAACUUCGUGCCAGCAGCCG
rnacentral:rRNA from 1 species